rnacentral:tRNA from 1 species
GGAGUUGUGGCUCAGAGGUAGAGCGCUCACUUACUAUGUGUGAAGCCCUGGGUUCGAUCCUCAACACUA